rnacentral:tRNA from 1 species
AGGGAGGUAGCUCAGUGACAGAGCACAUGCCUAGCAUGCAGUGAGGUUCUGGGUUCUAUUCCCAGCCCCUA